GGACAAGAGCUACUGGAAGGCCAUCCCCGUCGUCGAGCGGAUGGACUACCUCGCCUACUACUUCAACGCGUACGCGUUCUGCGGCGCGGUGGAGACGCUGCUCGAGCUCGAGGUGCCCAAGCGCGCGCAGUACCUGCGCGUCAUCCACCUCGAGCUCAACCGCAUCAACAGCCACCUGCUCUGGCUGCUGACCAGCGCGCUCGACCUCGGCGCGAUCUCGAUGUUCUGGUACGGGUUCCGCGAGCGCGAGCAGAUCCUCGACCUCUUCGAGCAGAGCUCGGGGCAGCGGAUGCACACCCGGUACAUCCAGGU
rnacentral:misc_RNA from 1 species